rnacentral:rRNA from 1 species
UACGUAGGGUGCAAGCGUUAAUCGGAAUUACUGGGCGUAAAGCGUGCGCAGGCGGCUUUGCAAGACAGAUGUGAAAUCCCCGGGCUUAACCUGGGAACUGCAUUUGUGACUGCAUGGCUGGAGUGCGGCAGAGGGGGAUGGAAUUCCGCGUGUAGCAGUGAAAUGCGUAGAUAUGCGGAGGAACACCGAUGGCGAAGGCGGCAUCCUGGACCGGCAUUGACGCUGAGGCGCGAAAGCCAGGGGAGCAAACGGG